AUCGACCUUUCGUCUCCUCAGAUCGGAGUCGUUGAUGUUGAGGACGCUGACAGCGUGUGGAUGGACAUGGAUGAUCAGGAUGACAUGCCGACGGCCGAAGAGCUGGAGCAGUGGAUAGAAGAUGAUCUGUCUGGGAAGAUCGAUCCUGAUGAUGAUGAUGAUGAUGACGAUGAAGACGACGACGAUGAUGAAGAAUAAUUAAUGUUUUCGUCACUUUGCCGUAAACUAAAACAUCUGGCAGCAAAGAGACUCGCCUGUUUGAACCUCACAUGUUUCUGUCAGGAUUGGGUUUUUUCUGG